AAGAAGCUCCAUCGCUUACGAGCUCCAUUUUCCUACUUCUGUUUGAGCUGUGUUUCAGUCCCCUCCAUUUAGAUCUGCGCUUCUGAAUUUCAGAUCGCGUUUCGAUUUAAUUUGAGACAAUAAUCACUUCCGUCAUUUCAAAGAUCGAAUGCAGACAUGGUUGUACUUGCUGCAUCCAUUGUGGGCAAAUCUGGUAAAGUUCUGGUUUCUAGGCAGUUUGUUGAUAAUGUUGCGCAGAUAUGUGUACUAGAGUUCUGUGAAGACAGCUUACCUCUCCAAAUUUAUGUGAAGAUAGAAAGUUAUGAGAAGACAGCUUACCUCUCCAAAUUUUCUGGAUAUGAAUUGUAGCAUUUCUCAAGUGGAAACAGUAACGAAUAUCCACCACUGGAAUGUUGGGCACACGAGUUUUCAAUACAAGACAUGGAGUGUUACCCUUCACUUCCUUUUUAUGAAACUCUCUCCAUCGAACCAAUUUCAACUAUUAAAGGUAUAUAUAUCAUGAUGAUGACUGAUGAGUUUCUUAAAGUUUUUAUUUGCUUAUUAGAUUCUUAUAUUACUAUAGCUACAUAUAUUAUACCUUGUCCUUAAAUACAUGCAGACUAUGACUUUUAUGAUAUUAAGAAAGGGUUUUCUGUCUAGAACGAAGUGGAUGCCGGCUUUGAUUGUUCAGAAAAAGUAGUUUCGUCAUCAUCAUUAAGAAAGGCUUUGAUUGUUAAAUGUGUAUGGAUUUGUCUCUGUAUUUCGCUGACAAAUCAGAGGUACCGUUUUGUUUUUUCACAAGUUUCCUUCUUCAAAUUGAACUCAAGUUUGGUUUUUUUGAAGCUUUUCAUUGGGUGUCUUCUUGAUGUUUGAUAAAAUUCCUGAACUAAAAAUGAGAGUUUUUUUCAGGUGAAAACUGAUGGAGCAAACUCUAAGGGAAGAAGAUGCAGCUAACUGGGUUUACAGGGGUGAAGGAGCUGUU